CCUACGGGCGGCAGCAGUGAGGAAUAUUGGUCAAUGGGCGCGAGCCUGAACCAGCCAAGCCGCGUGAAGGAUGACUGCCCUACGGGUUGUAAACUUCUUUUAUAAAGGAAUAAAGUGUGGCACGUAUACCUUUUUGUAUGUACUUUAUGAAUAAGGCACGGCUAACCCCGUGCCAGCAGCCGCGGUAAUACGGAGGAUCCGAGCGUUAUCCGGAUUUAUUGGGUUUAAAGGGAGCGUAGAUGGGUUGUUAAGUCAGUUGUGAAAGUUUGGGGCUCAACCGUAGAAUUGCAAUUGAUACUGGCAGUCUUGAGUACAGUAGAGGUGGGCGGAAUUCGUGGUGUAGCGGUGAAAUGCUUAGAUAUCACGAAGAACUCCGAUUGCGAAGGCAGCUUACUAAACUGCCACUGACAUUGAUGCGCGAAAGUGUGGGUAUCAAACAGGAUUAGAUACCCGAGUAGUC
rnacentral:rRNA from 1 species